GUGGGAUUUUUCUGAGGCAUAAAAAUCUCUGAUCACGUCUUCCUUCGGAAGGGAAGUAAAGCCGUUGGUCCCGGCCCAUGUGUUUGAUGGUUCGAUAUGUAGGGUCCAGGUGUGGGUGCUGCCUCCCUGGCGUCGGUAGCAUUGGUGCUCAGCACGGAAAAAAAAGAUCGACGGAAAAUAAAUCAAGGAAAAAAAAUACAACAAAAACUGGUUUUUGAGAACCUGAGGCAAGGGGAAAGACAGCUUUUGAUCAUGAGUAAAAUCGGAGGUAAUGUUGAGUAACUCUGAGUAACUCGCGUUGAUCAACAUCAAAUACACAUAGCAACCUGAUUUUUGUGUCGAAAUCUGUCAUCAUCAGUGGGGGCUGCAACCGAUUGACAUAUUUUUCCACAAUAAUUUCAUAAACAACUGAAAACAGGUGCCGAAGUUCUUACGAAUGAGAUACUUGUGAUGCUGGACUUGCUGGAUUGUAUAAUUCUAUCCUGGAUAUCGGUGUUACAGAAUGCGAGAUGACCACCAGGCCUGAGUUAACGGAUACCAUCAUCGGGUGGAUCUAUUUGCAGAAACAAAUGAAGCUGUUUUAAGAUUGUGGCUUGUGCCACCGUUUAUUUCUGCUUCUCCCAGUAUCUAGCACUUUGCUGAAUUUUCAUGAGCAGCUUGAGAAUGGCGUCCACCAAGAAAGAUCACCAGCUGACGAAAAUGACAUUUCCCGGAGCUAUUGUUCAAGCGAACAGGGAAUGUUUUAGCACUGAGCUCUCCUUGAAUUCCCUUGGAAUUAUGGUUCAAAUAUCGUUUGUAUCCUACUUCUUCUAGCACAUGGUUACUCUUUCUUCCAAUCUCCAUUUGACGACUUCUCACCAACCCAUCCUUGAUGGCGUCGCAGGUCUCGUUCUGCCGAUGCUCGCGACUAGUUUCGGAACCGCAUACCGCUCAACUGAUCAUUUCUGCGAUAAAUUAAAAUUCCUUCCCAGUUAUCCCUUUCUAGAUAUAAGGAACUGUUUCGCCGCAUACGUCUUUCUGUCGUAUCAAUGGUGGUAACCAGCUCUUUGAUAUAAAAUUUUGGUAGAUAUCGUAAGGCUUCUACGCACUGUUUCUGCACCCAGACAGAAACUAAUACCACAAACGAAGUGACAGCCGACUAACUGGCGAAGAAAUAAAUUAAAAUAAUGUGGUUCGCU